rnacentral:tRNA from 1 species
UGGGGUGUAGCCAAGCGGUAAGGCACAGGGUUUUGAUCCCUGCAUACCUAGGUUCGAAUCCUAGCACCCCAG